rnacentral:rRNA from 1 species
UUAGCGGCGGACGGGUGAGUAACACGUGGGUAACCUACCUAUAAGACUGGAAUAACUUCGGGAAACCGGAGCUAAUGCCGGAUAACAUAUAGAACCGCAUGGUUCUAUAGUGAAAGAUGGUUUUGCUAUCACUUAUAGAUGGACCCGCGCCGUAUUAGCUAGUUGGUAAGGUAAAGGCUUACCAAGGCGACGAUACGUAGCCGACCUGAGAGGGUGAUCGGCCACACUGGAACUGAGACACGGUCCAGACUCCUACGGGAGGCAGCAGUAGGGAAUCUUCCGCAAUGGGCGAAAGCCUGACGGAGCAACGCCGCGUGAGUGAUGAAGGUUUUCGGAUCGUAAAACUCUGUUAUUAGGGAAGAACAAAUGCGUAAGUAACUGUGCGCAUCUUGACGGUACCUAAUCAGAAAGCCACGGCUAACUACGUGCCAGCAGCCGCGGUAAUACGUAGGUGGCAAGCGUUAUCCGGAAUUAUUGGGCGUAAAGCGCGCGUAGGCGGUUUCUUAAGUCUGAUGUGAAAGCCCACGGCUCAACCGUGGAGGGUCAUUGGAAACUGGGAAACUUGAGUGCAGAAGAGGAAAGUGGAAUUCCAUGUGUAGCGGUGAAAUGCGCAGAGAUAUGGAGGAACACCAGUGGCGAAGGCGACUUUCUGGUCUGUAACUGACGCUGAUGUGCGAAAGCGUGGGGAUCAAACAGGAUUAGAUACCCUGGUAGUCCACGCCGUAAACGAUGAGUGCUAAGUG